UACGUAGGGCGCAAGCGUUGUCCGGAAUUAUUGGGCGUAAAGAGCUCGUAGGCGGCUUGUCACGUCGAUUGUGAAAGCCCGGGGCUUAACUCCGGGUCUGCAGUCGAUACGGGCUAGCUAGAGUGUGGUAGGGGAGAUCGGAAUUCCUGGUGUAGCGGUGAAAUGCGUAGAGAUCGGGAGGAACACCAGUGGCGAAGGCGGCACCCUGGACCAGCACUGACACUGAGGCACGAAAGCGUGGGGAGCAAACAGG
rnacentral:rRNA from 1 species